rnacentral:misc_RNA from 1 species
AUGACAAACUUUCAGCAUCAUCAUCAACCUCUGCACUAGGAGGCUUUUGGUCGUUUCUCCUAAAUACCACCUUCCCAUAUUUAUUAAACAAGUCAUCAAACAUUUCAUCAGUGUCUUCUACAUUCGAGAGAAGGUUAUCGUCAGAGUCUUUGCGAAGAGCGAAACUGGGCUUUAAUUUCAAUUUUAUGGCUCUCGGUAUUCGGCUCAACCAAUUGUACUGCGGUAACUGAUGCUCAUUAAGCCAUAACCACCCAGAUUGAAUUCUGUGUCUUCGAGAGAGUAGAGGUUCAAAGCGACCCAGUAGCUGGAACUCACCAGAGAAAUGAUUCCCAGCGCCGGCGAUAAACAGGGAGGUGGACGCUGCCAUUAUCGCUUCACACGAUAGACAAAAUUAAAGAGGAGCAGCAUUCUCAUCUACAGAUAAGAUAUUACAGUAGAAGCGUAAUGUCUUAACCGAAUCCAUAACCCGGCCAACGUUUGGAUAUAACCCAACCGAAAAAAGAGGACUAGGGUCAUUGAUUAGAGGAGUUCUGUAAUUUUAUUUUCUAACAAGGCCCAGCCCAUCCUGAUUCAUAUGAACCCCCUCACACAAACCCUAGCAGACAUUGGCCGCUAUAAACAGCGGCUAUAAGCGAAAACUCUCAAAGCCUCUCGCUCACCUCGCCUCCUCCUGAACCGAGAUGGUCAAGUUCUCAAAACCAAACAAGGCCGUUAUCCUCCUACAGGGCCGCUUCGCCGGCAGGAAGGCGGUGAUUGUCCGAUCCUUCGAUGACGGCACACGCGACCGCCCUUACGGCCACUGCCUGGUCUCUGGCAUAUCCAAGUACCCAGCGAAGGUGAUCAAGAAAGACUCUGCGAAGAAGACAGCGAAGAAUUCACGAGUGAAGGCGUUUAUGAAGGUGGUGAACUACAGCCAUUUGAUCCCUACGAGAUACACACUGGAUGUGGAUUUGAAGGAUGUGGUGAGUCCUGAUUCGUUGGUGACAAAGGACAAGAAGGUUACGGCUGCCAAAGAAAUCAAGAAGAGGUUUGAGGAGAGAUUCAAGACUGGGAAGAACCGAUGGUUCUUUUCCAAGCUCAGGUUUUGAAAUGAAAAUUGGGAUUUUUUUUUUUGGUAUGUUGUGAUUUAAGUUACUCUCUGUCUUUGGAUUUAAAGAGAUUUUGUUAGUUGAUUGAAAACCUAAUUUCUUUGGAUUUAAUUGCUGUAAAUGCAAACGAUAUUAUGAUUCAUGAAACCAAAUUGAUGGGGUUUUCACGUAUUCAUUGAUGCACAAGGAGAUAAUUAAAUUUUUUUUAUUAUGAUAGCCAUAUUAGAGUUAACUAGGCACAGCUCAAAUACAAGCAAGGCACACCCAAACUAGCCAUUAAGGGGCUUGUAUACCGCGAGCAAGUAGGAGGAGAAAACUAAUGGACUAAUUCAGAGAGAUGGAGAG